UGGGAAUUUUGGACAAUGGGGGCAACCCUGAUCCAGCAAUGCCGCGUGUGUGAAGAAGGCCUUCGGGUUGUAAAGCACUUUUGUCCGGGAAGAAAUCGCACCUGAUAAUACCGGGUGUGGAUGACGGUACCGGAAGAAUAAGGACCGGCUAACUACGUGCCAGCAGCCGCGGUAAUACGUAGGGUCCAAGCGUUAAUCGGAAUUACUGGGCGUAAAGCGUGCGCAGGCGGUUGUGCAAGACCGAUGUGAAAUCCCCGGGCUUAACCUGGGAAUUGCAUUGGUGACUGCACGGCUAGAGUGUGUCAGAGGGUGGUAGAAUUCCACGUGUAGCAGUGAAAUGCGUAGAGAUGUGGAGGAAUACCGAUGGCGAAGGCAGCCCCCUGGGAUAACACUGACGCUCAUGCACGAAAGCGUGGGGAGCAAACAGG
rnacentral:rRNA from 1 species